rnacentral:lncRNA from 1 species
CAGAUAUCUUAUUGCUUUGGAGUGUCCAAGGUACUUGAAAAAGAAGGAAGAAAUCAGCCAUCGAAGUUACUUGCAGGCUAGCACCUCCAAGCUUCAAAUCUGCGUCAGUCUUCGAGUGGAUUUUUUGUAGAGGCCAGACAACUUCGUAUGGCUGCGAGCGAUCUAAGGAACACCUUCUCCAACCAUUGGACUAGAGGAGAUCAAUAUC